rnacentral:rRNA from 1 species
UACGGGGGGGGGCAAGCGUUGUUCGGAAUUACUGGGCGUAAAGGGCGCGUAGGCGGUUUGCUAAGUUGAAUGUGAAAACUCUGGGCUUAACCCAGAGCCUGCAUUCAAUACUGGCAGGCUAGAGUUCUGGAGGGGAUAGCGGAAUUCCUGGUGUAGCGGUGGAAUGCGCAGAUAUCAGGAGGAACACCAAUGGCGAAGGCAGAUCUCUGGGCCGUAACUGACGCUGAGGAGCGAAAGCGUGGGGAGCGAACAGG